rnacentral:rRNA from 1 species
UCCUACGGGAGGCAGCAGUCGGGAAUUUUGCUCAAUGGGCGAAAGCCUGAUGCAGCAACGCCGCGUGAGGGAUGACGGCCUUCGGGUUGUAAACCUCUUUUCUCAGGGACGAUGAUGACGGUACCUGAGGAAUAAGCCACGGCAAACUACGUGCCGGCAGCCGCGGUAAUACGUAGGUGGCGAGCGUUGUCCGGAUUUACUGGGCGUAAAGAGCGCGC